rnacentral:rRNA from 1 species
CCUGAAACCGUGUACGUACAAGCAGUGGGAGCACGCUUCGGCGUGUGACUGCGUACCUUUUGUAUAAUGGGUCAGCGACUUAUAUUCUGUAGCAAGGUUAACCGAAUAGGGGAGCCGAAGGGAAACCGAGUCUUAACUGGGCGUUAAGUUGCAGGGUAUAGACCCGAAACCCGGUGAUCUAGCCAUGGGCAGGUUGAAGGUUGGGUAACACUAACUGGAGGACCGAACCGACUAAUGUUGAAAAAUUAGCGGAUGACUUGUGGCUGGGGGUGAAAGGCCAAUCAAACCGGGAGAUAGCUGGUUCUCCCCGAAAGCUAUUUAGGUAGCGCCUCGUGAAUUCAUCUCCGGGGGUAGAGCACUGUUUCGGCAAGGGGGUCAUCCCGACUUACCAACCCGAUGCAAACUGCGAAUACCGGAGAAUGUUAUCACGGGAGACACACGGCGGGUGCUAACGUCCGUCGUGAAGAGGGAAACAACCCAGACCGCCAGCUAAGGUCCCAAAGUCAUGGUUAAGUGGGAAACGAUGUGGGAAGGCCCAGACAGCCAGGAUGUUGGCUUAGAAGCAGCCAUCAUUUAAAGAAAGCGUAAUAGCUCACUGGUCGAGUCGGCCUGCGCGGAAGAUGUAACGGGGCUAAACCAUGCACCGAAGCUGCGGCAGCGACACUAUGUGUUGUUGGGUAGGGGAGCGUUCUGUAAGCCUGUGAAGGUGUGCUGUGAGGCAUGCUGGAGGUAUCAGAAGUGCGAAUGCUGACAUAAGUAACGAUAAAGCGGGUGAAAAGCCCGCUCGCCGGAAGACCAAGGGUUCCUGUCCAACGUUAAUCGGGGCAGGGUGAGUCGACCCCUAAGGCGAGGCCGAAAGGCGUAGUCGAUGGGAAACAGGUUAAUAUUCCUGUACUUGGUGUUACUGCGAAGGGGGGACGGAGAAGGCUAUGUUGGCCGGGCGACGGUUGUCCCGGUUUAAGCGUGUAGGCUGGUUUUCCAGGCAAAUCCGGAAAAUCAAGGCUGAGGCGUGAUGACGAGGCACUACGGUGCUGAAGCAACAAAUGCCCUGCUUCCAGGAAAAGCCUCUAAGCAUCAGGUAACAUUAAAUCGUACCCCAAACCGACACAGGUGGUCAGGUAGAGAAUACCAAGGCGCUUGAGAGAACUCGGGUGAAGGAACUAGGCAAAAUGGUGCCGUAACUUCGGGAGAAGGCACGCUGAUAUGUAGGUGAAGUCCCUCGCGGAUGGAGCUGAAAUCAGUCGAAGAUACCAGCUGGCUGCAACUGUUUAUUAAAAACACAGCACUGUGCAAACACGAAAGUGGACGUAUACGGUGUGACGCCUGCCCGGUGCCGGAAGGUUAAUUGAUGGGGUUAGCGGUAACGCGAAGCUCUUGAUCGAAGCCCCGGUAAACGGCGGCCGUAACUAUAACGGUCCUAAGGUAGCGAAAUUCCUUGUCGGGUAAGUUCCGACCUGCACGAAUGGCGUAAUGAUGGCCAGGCUGUCUCCACCCGAGACUCAGUGAAAUUGAACUCGCUGUGAAGAUGCAGUGUACCCGCGGCAAGACGGAAAGACCCCGUGAACCUUUACUAUAGCUUGACACUGAACAUUGAGCCUUGAUGUGUAGGAUAGGUGGGAGGCUUUGAAGUGUGGACGCCAGUCUGCAUGGAGCCGACCUUGAAAUACCACCCUUUAAUGUUU